GGAUGCGAUCAUACCAGCACUAAAGCAUCAGAUCCCAUCAGAACUCCAAAGUUAAGCGUGCUUGGGCGAGAGUAGUACUAUGAUGGGUGACCUCCUGGGAAGUCCUUGUGUUGCAUUCC
rnacentral:rRNA from 1 species